CCUACGGGUGGCAGCAGUGAGGAAUAUUGGUCAAUGGACGAGAGUCUGAACCAGCCAAGUAGCGUGAAGGAUGACUGCCCUAUGGGUUGUAAACUUCUUUUAUAAAGGAAUAAAACGAGGCACGUGUGCCUUUUUGCAUGUACUUUAUGAAUAGGGAUCGGCUAACUCCGUGCCAGCAGCCGCGGUAAUACGGAGGAUCCGAGCGUUAUCCGGAUUUAUUGGGGUUAAAGGGAGCGUAGAUGGGUUGUUAAGUCAGUUGUGAAAGUUUGCGGCUCAACCGUAAAAUUGCAAUUGAUACUGGCAGUCUUGAGUACAGUUGAGGUAGGCGGAAUUCGUGGUGUAGCGGUGAAAUGCUUAGAUAUCACGAAGAACCCCAAUUGCGAAGGCAGCUUACUAAACUGUGACUGACAUUGAUGCUCGAAAGUGUGGGUAGCAAACAGGAUUAGAUACCCUAGUAGUC
rnacentral:rRNA from 1 species